UGAUGUAGUGUUGUUUCCUACUGGAGAUUGUGUCUACGGUAUUGGUCGAUGUGAAGGACCAGCCCUGCGGAGUAGAAGAUUUAUUACAACUCCGUUGUUAGAGAGAUUUAUAACAUACUAGUUGCAACGAGGGUUAGGAGUUUGUAAAAUCGUCCCAGUGAAUCCUGAAGUAUCAUAUUGGACCUAAAACCUGGACAAACGUUACUACAAGAGGUAUUGUGUCAGUCUGAAGUAUCAUAUUGAACCCAAAACCUAGACAAACGCUACCACAAGAGCACUGACGGAACUACUUAUCUGUUGAAGUUAUGGACGUCAUCUUUAUCUGCCCUUUCACCUCCCAGUGGCUCAGCGCUAAAAACCGGGUUUCGAUACCUGUGGUGGGCACAGCACAUAUAAAACAUUGUGUAACUAUAGAAAAGAGGGAAUUUAUUAGAGUCUGAGGAAGGCGCUGCUAUCGUCUUUCUUUAGAGAAUCAUAUCUAGAGAC